CCUGCAAAAAAUAUAAUUAAACAAUAUAAACCUAGAAAACAUAUCAUUUUUCAGUUUUGUUGGAUUGCUUUUUUGUUGUUUUUUUUCCAGAAAGAUACAGCACUCAAUAUGUAACGGGAUUUGAAAACAUAUUUCUUCACACGUGAUGUAACAGAAAAAAGAGAUCAGGAAUCAAAAGAAUUUUGAACAUUAAAAUAUCAAGUUAUGAAGAGUUAUGACAGAGUUUCCAGGCUCAGAAGGGACAGCAGAAUGGAACAAUAAAUGCUGGGAACAGUGAGAUGAAGAACAGCAGAAAACCAGGCUGGGGAAACAAAUGUCAGGGUAUUUACAGCAAGUUGAGAAAGCCCAGCCUCUUGAUUAUUUACAAUUGGUUACAAAUAAGUUAAAAGACAAUUCUCGUAUAAUCACUUAUUUUUCCUUUGCUGAAAACAAUUUUUUUAUCAGAAAUGUAAAGCAGAAGUGAUCCAGGGAAAGAAAUCUGUGGACAAGUAUUACUGUUGUCACUGUUUAAGUUUUACCCCCUUGAAAUUGUAUAACUGAGGACAAAAUGUGUUUCUAAGCCCAUCUCUAAUUACGAUAAUAAAUUCAGUUUCUUAAGACCUAUUCUCAGAAAAUAUACAUAAUUUUACACACCACAGUAGUUCUACAGAGUUUUACAGAAUGAUUAAUGUCUGUAACAUCAAGAGGUGGAUUUUAAGAACUUAAGAGAGAGAAACAUUUCACUCACUCAUUGUACUACAGUUCUACCUGUAAUAUUCCACUUGGUGCCACGCUCUAUAGAAACCAUCAAGAGACUGCUCUCCUUGUCGUAUGUAUUUUGUCUUGCUGAUAUAUACA